ensembl:lncRNA
CUAUUGUGUGGCUCAAUAAUCAGCAUCAUUUAAUCCCCAGGUCUAAUUAGCGCACAUCUGUUAGUGCGAUUUGCAUGUUUACGAAUGGACAGACAUGGCCGGAUGAUCCCUGGCUGGCCGACAGCGCGGUGCGGAUGAAAGCACUGACAGCUGUCAAGGUUGGAAGAGCGCAACACGCACCGCGUCGACGCGGUGUCUCGGCCCACGGCUACCGAGGCAUCAUCAUCGGCGGAGGACACGCUGACGGCCGCGAUACAGCUACGCUACAGACAAGGUCAGUCGGACGGUGGGAAGCCUCUCUGUGGACAGGGAAGGACAGAUGGAGGGGAAUGAUGAGCGGGGAAGCAGGAAGAUGAGCUUUAGUCUCUGACUACAAGGUGGAACAACGAGGGUUCCACGUGGAAUCUUCAUGGGUCCCCCGUAGGGACAACCAAACAACCUUUGUUUGAUGAUCCCGAUGAAACCCCGGGCAUUUUGACUGGCGUGAAAGAUCGCCGGAACCCGUACAGGGAACGUGUUGGAUUAUUUCAUCCGGCAGGUGCACGCCAAAAUAGCACCACGAACUCUAGCUGAAUUUCACCCAGUCAGAGGAAGAGUGGACGGAAAUUGACAGGAAGACGGAGCUCAAGACACGGGUGUCAUCCUUAGCUGUCAGGACCGGUGCUGUUAUUAAAGCGAGACGAGGCGCAUACCAAGUAUUUAGGAAAGAAAUGACACUAAUAUAUCAUAUCACAUCAUUACACCCUUAUUUAGCAAUAACAAAUCUGAAUGAUAUUAGUAAUAAGAGUAAUGGGAUCAUUUCCCGUCCGUUGUAAGCCGCACUUCUGUUUUCAGGUCAGGGCGUGAUGUUUUAGGUUCGGCUCGGCGUGUUGUGGGGAGCAGGUGUGCGGCGGUAAUACGAGGGUCAGUCCUGCGGUGAACCCAAUACAAGGUGAAAAUCUCCAGCGAAUGCACUCGUAUUGUAUCUGCUGCACUCGAUUCCCUGCUGAGGACAGUGCACGGCAGAAUAAGCUCUCUCAAUUUCUAAAUAACCGACAGCUGAAUUCUUGUGCCGG